rnacentral:snoRNA from 1 species
GCCCGGUGAUGAGACCAAGGCGAAUAUGAGCCCAUUGAAUUAGAGUCUGAGCUCUCCUGUUUUCCUAAUGGCUGGUAAUCUUGGCUGGGCAGUGAAGAUUUGCUGUCUUGCUGUAAGGGCCUGCCUACAUUCAAUAAGCCCCUUCCUCUGAGUUUUCUAUCCUUUGAAGAAAUGGGGAAGAAAAAGGGUGGGGCUUACAGUGUGUGUGUGUGUGUGUGUGUGUGUGUGUUGUGUACUUCUUUGGGUCAUUGAGCUCUCUCUUUGGUAAUCUGAGGCA